GGUAGCUUGCUACUGGACCUAGCGGCGGACGGGUGAGUAAUACUUAGGAAUCUGCCUAUUAGUGGGGGACAACGUUCCGAAAGGAGCGCUAAUACCGCAUACGCCCUACGGGGGAAAGCAGGGGAUCUUCGGACCUUGCGCUAAUAGAUGAGCCUAAGUCGGAUUAGCUAGUUGGUGGGGUAAAGGCCUACCAAGGCGACGAUCUGUAGCGGGUUUGAGAGGAUGAUCCGCCACACUGGGACUGAGACACGGCCCAGACUCCUACGGGAGGCAGCAGUGGGGAAUAUUGGACAAUGGGCGCAAGCCUGAUCCAGCCAUGCCGCGUGUGUGAAGAAGGCCUUAUGGUUGUAAAGCACUUUAAGCGAGGAGGAGGCUUACCUAGCUAAUACCUAGGAUAAGUGGACGUUACUCGCAGAAUAAGCACCGGCUAACUCUGUGCCAGCAGCCGCGGUAAUACAGAGGGUGCAAGCGUUAAUCGGAAUUACUGGGCGUAAAGCGCGCGUAGGUGGCCAUUUAAGUCAAAUGUGAAAU
rnacentral:rRNA from 1 species